GAACAAUCACCCUUUCUCCCCCCCACCUUGGAUCGGAUCCCGAUGGAAACUCAUCAAGGCCUCCUAAGUGGUCAGAGGAAGAGAGAAGAAAAAUAGUUACUGAGAAAAGAUCACUUCAGGGUGCAGCAAAGCUGGAUGCAAAGGGAAAAAUAAAGCUACUUUUUGGCUUAUAUAUAUUUGAAAACCAUAGGUUUACAUCAGAUGGAGUGUUAACAGAAGGUCGUGGUCCUAAAGAAAGGAUUAAAGCCGGUGAGGACUUAGCUUGAUGCAGGUUGAGACUAAGCCUGCAAGCUGUCUGCUGGAUGUUUCCAUUAGUUCCACGGCUGCAGUAAGAGCUGUAAAAUGACCAAGUAUGUCAAACUUCUCACAGUGUCCACUAAGGCUACUAAAGCUCACAGCUCUUGAAAAGGCUUUCAAGGACCCUGGAAGCCCUGAAGAUACUUGAAUGGAGCUGGACUUUUAGACUGAACUGCAGAAAGCCUCAGCUGCUGCAAACCCACUGAAAUGUGGAGUGCCUUUUUUGCUGAUUGCUCCAGACUCUCAGAUCCUGGGAGCCUGUCUCAAGCUGUGGCUAACAGCAUAAUCCACCUGGAUGUUUAACAAAGCUGGCUACUUGGAAGUCAGAAGCCCUAGGAAGGCUGGCAUAUUCAGCUCUAGAGGUUUCCUCCUUACAACAGGAUGUUCUGGGCAAAAAAUCUGCAGCUCAAUGAGUAUUAAAAACCUAUUCAAAACACCAGGCUCAAAGUUUUAUGGUAAGACUGGACUGCAGGAUAUGAAGUUGCAGCCACAUUUAUAAAUGCUGCCUUAUAUCUUUCAUUAUGUUUUCAUAGCACUUAUUCCAAUGGAAACAAAAAGAGAAGAGUUACUAUAUACAAUGUGGGACAAAGUGAUUGAAAGCAGUAAGUUGACCUAUCCCCCUUCAUUACCUUUGUGACAUAUACUAAUUCCCAUAUUUUUAACUGCAGGAUUUUUUGGAAUUGUCUUUUCCUGUGGAUAUUUGAAUUGGAUGAGGGCUUGAAUUACACAGCAUGUAAGUCUCUGAAUUGUUAUGAAUUAAUAGGAACGUGGACAGAACUGCGCACUGUUGUGUUUUUGCUCAAAGUUAAUUUAUCUUCCUGAGAUCUUUGCUGAAUUUAGAUUUUAGGAUCACAGCUAAACACCAUUUCCAGGCACAGUGAGGAUAAUAAAAUCCUUAGGAAUAGUCAGCAUGGCGUCACUGAGUGGAAGCCUUGCUUGACCAACCUGACACACAUCUGUGGUGAAGUGACUGACCUCUUGGAUGAGGGGAAGGCAGAGGGUGUUGUCUGCCUGGAAUUCAGCGAGGCCUUUGACAACGUGUCCCGUUAGACCCUCAUAGAGAAGCUUUUGAUGUACACACUGGGUGAGUAGACUGAGGUGGACUGAAAACUGAAUGUCUGGCUCCAGGGAGUGGUGAUCCACAAAUCUAGCUGGAGACAGUGGCUAGCAGAGUUCCUCAGUGACCACUACUGGGUGCAGUACUGUUAAACCUCUGGAUGAUGAGGCAGAGUGUAGCCUCAGCAAGUUUCCUGGUGACACCAAACUGGGAGAAGCAGCAGAAGCACUAGAGGGUCAUGCUGCCAUCCAGAACGACCUCAAAAGGCUGGAGAAAUGGGUCAACAGGAAUGUCAUGAGGUUCAACAAAGGGAGUUGUGAAGUCCUGCACUUGGAGCACCCCCAUGCACCAGCAUAUGAUGAUAGCCUCUUCAGUGGAAAGAAGCUUGGCAGAAAGGAACCUGGAGGUCUUGGUGGACAGCAGUUUGAACAUGAAACUCUCAGUAUCAAAUUCUUUCAUGAAGGAUGACAUUUUCUGUCCAUAAGGAUGAAUGUUUUCAAAGAAUCACGACAUCUGUAACAAAAACAAACAAACAAAACCCCCAAAAUGACAAGAGCAACAACAAAAACAAUACAAACAAACAAUCAAACAACAAAAAAACCCCAAGACCUUGUGGAAAGCAUUCUGGGCUGUGGGACAGAAAUUCAUGUCCUGCCUUCCAAAUGUGCUUUCACAUGUGACUUCCAGCAAAUUACUUGAUCUCUCCAGUUCUGUAUCUACAUGAGCUCAGCAACAUUUUUUAAUAUAUGGAUACACAGGAACUAACAUUCUUAUCACUGCUGCUCUAUUCUGUUACAGUUUAGAUAAAACUAUCUUUAUAAAGGUUUAAUAGUGUUUAAGAAAAAAUUGAUUUUAUAUAAAAGUUACAUUUAUUGCAAGGAAACAAAUGGAAGAAGAAAAUAUCUAUGAACUUCCAGCUUAUCUGGACAAAGACUUUUAUUAGCUGUUUCCUUGGUAACUUUUUGCAAGAAACCUUUAAAGAUAACUUUGCAUUUGGGAGUAGAGAAUCUUGAAAUAUGACAAAGGCUACUGAGAAGUCUUAAUACAAAGGCACAAUGUAUCCCAAGAAAGCUUUCAUGAUGUUGCUUUUAUGGCUGAAUCUCUGAGGAAAAAAAUAUUCUGCAAAGAAAAGCACAGCAAGAGAGCAAAGAUGAUCAGAUGUAUUAACACACAGAGUCAGCAACAAAGCAGCUGAGAAGCCAUGAAGUAGCUGGAGAGGACUUAAAAGAGAUCUUCAUCUGGAUGAGUUACUACUGAUAGGAAAAAAAAAUUCUACAUCUUUGAAGGAUGUCUUACACUUUGGACUACAAUUUUCUGGCAACUUUCACCACAGAGGUCUCACAUUUGCUUCAAUAAAUGACUGAAGUGCCUAGACAUUUAUUUUUCUAUGUCUGGUUCCCAAAUGGAAGCUGGAUCUCCCGUGGUAGGCAUAUUAGAUCAAGUUUUUCUGGCCUAAUUUCCAGCAAUAUCCCCAUGAUUCCUACUAGCUACCUGUCCUGGUAGUGCACAUCUGGCCAAGAAGAAACCCAAGGCAGGUGGAUUUACAUGGAAUUUAGGAAAUGUCCCAGUGCCUGGAAAGUAUUAGCCACUGCAGAGUAAUCCAUGCAGUGCAGCAGAUAGCCCUGGGAACUGACUGUAAAGCUGCUUAAUAUAGUAGAGUGUCUGAAAUUCUUCCCCUCCUCUGCAGCUUAGACAUAUGGCUUAGAACUCAUGGAAAAGAGAUGGAUUCCAGCAUCCAGAAACCUCUACUGUGAAGAAGUCUACAGAAACACUUCCCAAGAACUCAGAAGAGAUUGCAAAAGAGACAUUAUUUUCUCUUUUCUCUCAAACCUGCCAAGGGUUUCAUGCAUUUGCCUAGUAAGUGAGAAAAGAGGCUGUUCUCAUCAAAUUCUCAUGGGGCAACUCAGAAGGAUCUCUGAACACAGGGAUGAGGCCCUUUUUGUCAAAGGUGUACAACUGCAUCAAGAAAUAUCACUCACAAAUCUCUCGGGUUCCAAUUCAUCCCUCUUUCCCAAAAAUCCAGGAAACUGCACAGUCACAUUUACUUUCCUUUUCUGUGAUUUUGGUUUUUUUAAGUGACUUACUGAGCCAUGACAAGUAUUUUUUUUUUUUUUUCCCAAAAUGGAAGAAAAAUUUGUUUAUUCAGAAGCAUUUACUAACAACUCAAAAAUCAAUAUAAAACACAGUAUUGCUGUCAUACUUGUAUUCAAACAGAUCCAAGACAUAUUACACCCUUGUUUUUGUGACAAACCUUUCUCCUUUGUGAAAAGCUUGUUUUACAAAGUAACAGAAAGAAGGGUGAAAAGAGUGACUUGUCAGAAGCUGUGCUUCCAAGCUGUUUGGAAAGGGGAGAAAGAUCUGGCUGGUUGCUUACCCAGAAAUUUUUCAAGAUGCUUUUUGCUCAGAUGAAAUUGCAAAUAAAAGCUCAGUCGGAAUGUACUGCUGGUUUGUUGAACUUAUAAUGACUAUUGCAAAUACAAGAGAAUACUCAGAAGCCAUACUGUGGUUUCAUUUCCAUCUUGGAAGAUAAGAAAAGCUGUUGUUUACACUUGAAAGAUGAUAUUGAAGAAUUAAAUAGUGCCUCAUUAUCUCACCUAGUUCCACUUCUACUCAGAUUCUUUUCUUGCCCUUAUUCCUGUCACUGACCAUACUGAAUACCUUUCUAACUGAAAGAGAAUUAAGAUGUGGAAUGAGGUGCAAACAAAUGCGUGCCUCAUCUAGAGCUGGUGGAUGACAAGACUACAGAUAAGUUUAAAGUCUGGGGUUUUACCUCCAUAGAGACUUCAGAAAAAUGCAGAGGGAAAAAAACUGAAACUCACAAAUUUUGAAUGCCCUCCAACAUUUGAUGAUUUGAUUAUUUCGUUCACAUCUCUGUUUACAGACUUUGAAGCUGCUUUGUGAGGUAGUCAGAAACAGAAAACUUUUACAAGGUAAAUAACUGAAAGAGUUGAGAAUGAAAGAAGAGACCCUCUUCGGCUAACAGGAUUCUAGGGCCCAUAAAAAAAAAAACAUGGUCCUCUGAGUAAUCUUGAAAACACAUGAGAAUGACCAUAGAAUUUAGUUCCUCUUUAGGGAUCAAAAUAAGCAGCAACUUUAUCAGGAUAGUACAGCACUAAGAGCCUGGCCUUGGACAACAUAAUGUGAACUGACAGCCUUUCCGAGGAAUUUUAAGGGUUUGUCUCUAUCUGCAGUUGCUUCACAUUUCCAAAUUUGGCUCUGAACACCAAUAAGAAGCAUUUAGCAGAACGAAAUACUGGAUCCAAUUUUCUGAAUGAACAUUCAUAGGACCAUCCUUCUUCCCAGACUGAGACAUUUUACUAAUAAAGGACACACAGAAGACAUCCUUGACGUCUUGUUUCAGAGUCUGCAUCCAUUACACUCUUGUAAUGAAGAAGGGAAGCAAAAUACAAAAAACAAAAUAAAACAAAAUAAAGGAAAAUUAUCAAUUGAUAAAAGAAAAAAUAUCAAACCUGCUUGCUAAAAUAAACAGAUGGAAAAGGCAAAUUAUUAGUGAAUACUUGUUUUCUAGCAAAGCUACUGGGGGAAAUAGAAGGAAGAUGAGCAAGUAAAUAUGCACAGCAUUCCUGGAGGAGAAAUAAAUAGGGAUCCUAUUAUACUGCUGCUUAUGCACAGCUUGGAAACUUCACUAUAAAAGCUGCAGGGAAUAGAAAUACACUGUAUGCAAGCAGAACAUCCUUGGACUUUUUACGACACUACAUGCAUGCCAUACCCUGAGGUUCCUAUAAAAUACUUAUUAUUUGCCAGUUCAAGCUGUUUGGCUUAGCUGUGAUUUGGGUAAUAUUUCCUUCCACUGGAAGAAGUGCUCUGCUAUUGGAAUAGGCUGGAGUGCUACAGCAGCAUAUCCUCAUCUUUCUCAGAUUGCUCAUAAAUUUCCAGGCCACAGUUAUCAACCACAGGUAUUCUAAACUGCAAGUGACUCUGCCUGUGGAUCCGUAGAGCAGGGAAUAUAUACCAAAAUUUCAAGUUCAUUUAUUCCUCCAUUUCCAUCGCUGUGUAUUUCUUAUCAUAGAUUUAAAAAUAUUAAUUUACCUGGGCUCUGACAUACAUGCAGAAGUCCAAGGCGAUCUCUGUUAGUUUCAGGACAAAAUAUAACACUGAGUAAACUCACAGGCUUUUACUAUGCAAACCAAAAGUUUUUCUUGGUUUUCUUUGGAAGAAUUCUCAAUUACUUCAAUCAAGAAAAAUUUUGUAAAAGGACUGAGUAGGCGAAAUAAUGACAAAACUUGAGCUCUUUGACAGAGGACAAGGAAGUUUUGAUUAGAGGGAAGACAAUUUGAGAAGAACUUCCUUUCCUGAGGCUGCACCUACAAUCAAAGGAGGCUAUCAACUAUUGCAUAACCCUGAGUAUGGAAAUAAAGGAGUUAUUGAAGCCAUGGGAUGACAAGAGGCAAGAGUGAGCAAGAGCAGCGUGACUUCAAGUUCAAGAGUGGAAGGGCGAAGCAAGAGUGAACAAGAGUAGCAGCAGCUUUGAGCUCAGGAGUGGAACAGUGAGGUAGCAUUGAUUGGAGAGCACCUGAAGAACUGAAGGGCAGGAAUCCAGGUGAUCCUAUGGAACUGGGAGUGAGAAUUGACGAAACUUCUGGUACUUCAUGACAGGGAUACAGAUAGUGUUCUUAAGCAAAACCAGUCAGCUCUCCUAAUAAAGGAUAGUAAAGAAAUUGUUGGGUUGCAGGUUUAUAGGAAAGGACUAAGACAUUUUUAUUGCUCACAAAUGACCAUGAAACACAAUGACAGAUUGUAGGAGAAACCCUACAAAUUCCAAAACAAUCAGUAUAAGCAAGGAGUAAGCCUCAUAACACAAUCCUUCUCUCCAUUCAGAAUUGGGGGAGACCUCAGCUGGAAAUCUGGGUCCAGUUUUCUUGGGCAGCCAGGAAUACACUGAACCAACAACCAAACUGGCAUGAGCGAAAUGUUGCUCCAGCUCAAAUUUAUGAUACCACAAAUAUAUUGGACAAGUUGAAAAUAAUGAAAUAGAAGAGGAAAAAAAUGACCCGUGCAACAAGUAAUGCAGCAAAGGACAGAAGAACUGAAAAUUAUUACUGUUGAGAUUUGAUAGAAUAGUCACACAACAACCUAGUGGACCUUUCAACUGAAAAGUUGAAAUUAGGUGAGAGUUUCUAUUUGAGAAGGAUAAAAUUGUCAUUACAAGAGAGAAAGAUGCCAUUUCUAUUAGAACCAUUAUUUCUUUUUUUUGAAGUCCUUAGAAACUCAAUGCUACACAAUCUUGAAUGUUGAUAGUUCUGUUUUCUAACUCACUAACCCAAGAGGAGACAUGUUUCAACGACGGGAAGCUAAAUUUGUUUGCAAGACAGUGUGUGUCUAAACUGCAGGAAACCAGUUUGGGAGAUAUGCAGACAAUGUAUUGUGUAUGUUUGUACUACUCGCUGAAGAAAAAUUAUAUGGAAGCCUUUUAAUUUUCUAUCACAAAAUGGGCAGGGCUCACACAGAGGAAAGAUCUUUUGUAUUGAAUAGAUGUGAUUUGACUCCAUGAUUGGCCCCUGGUAGUUCCCUGUAAAGCAGUGAGCAUGACAUGGUUGUAUAUGCUACGCCAACUUUGAUGUUUAACCUUGCUGCUUCAAAAGGCUGGUUUAAAAAAAACCCCUCAAAAAUAUUGCUUGAAGUAAUAAUUGAUAGUGACAAGGGAAAAUAUACAGUUAACAUAGUGAAAGAAAACAAGACAAAUUUUAAAAGCUUAGUAAAAGGAUGAAAGCAGUUUUCUACACUCUUAUUAUAGAGUCCCUUCUGGUCAAAAAGAAAAAGAACAACAAUUAGGUAACUACUGUUAGCUGCAUUAGAGAAAAGCACCAGAAGAUCAUGAAUAGAGAAACCAGUGCUGUGUUAAUGCAAUUGGAAAGAAACUUUGUUCUUAUUCACUGUCUGUUCCCCUGUAAUUUUAAGAAUUUCAUGCGUAUAAUCUUUUAUAAACCAAAGAAAUAAAUUUAUGCUUUUUAAAAUUUA